rnacentral:rRNA from 1 species
AUUGAACGCUGGCGGCAGGCCUAACACAUGCAAGUCGCACGAGUGGCGGACGGGUGAGUAAUGUCUGGGAAACUGCCUGACGGAUGGGGAUAACUACUGGAAACGGUAGCUAAUACCGCAUACCAUCGGAUGUGCCCAGAUGGGAUUAGCUUGUUGGUGGGAUAACGGCUCACCAAGGCGACGAUCCCUAGCUGGUCUGAGAGGAUGACCAGACACACUGGAACUGAGACACGGUCCAGACUCCUACGGGAGGCAGCAGUGGGGAAUAUUGCACAAUGGGCGCAAGCCUGAUGCAGCCAUGCCGCGUGUAUGAAGAAGGCCUUCGGGUUGUAAAGUACUUUCAGCGGGGAGGCGUUACCCGCAGAAGAAGCACCGGCUAACUCCGUGCCAGCAGCCGCGGUAAUAC